ensembl:misc_RNA Metazoa_SRP Metazoan signal recognition particle RNA
AGUGGAAAUUAAAACCAUUGUCUACUAAGCAUAUAGGUCUGCAAGAGGAUGGCUUGCUUCAGCCCAGGAGUUCUGGGCUGCAGAACGUGACACUAAAAGGUUACUGGCGCUAAGCUUGACAUCAAUAUGGUGAUCUCCUGGGAACAGGGGACCACCAGGGUGCUUAAGAAGGGGUGAACAAGCUCAGGUCAGAAACAGAUCAGAUCAAAACUCCUGCACUGAUCACUAGUGGGCUCACACAUGUGAAUAGCCACUUCCCUCUAGUCUGAGCAAUAUAGCCAGACUCUGUCUCU